rnacentral:rRNA from 1 species
CUUGGUCAUUUAGAGGAAGUAAAAGUCGUAACAAGGUUUCCGUAGGUGAACCUGCGGAAGGAUCAUUACCGAGUUAGGGUCUUAUAGGCCCGACCUCCAACCCUUUGUUUACUACACCAUGUUGCUUUUGGUGGACCCGCCUUUCGGGGCCGCCGGUGGCUUACAAGCCACUGGUCAGUGUCUGCCAGUAGCCUUAUUAAAUUCUUUUAUAAUUAUGUUGUCUGAGUAUAAAUAUAAAUCGUUAAAACUUUCAACAACGGAUCUCUUGGUUCUGGCAUCGAUGAAGAACGCAGCGAAAUGCGAUAAGUAAUGCGAAUUGCAGAAUUCAGUGAGUCAUCGAAUCUUUGAACGCAUAUUGCGCCCUUUGGCAUUCCGAAGGGCAUGCCUGUUCGAGCGUCAUUAUCAACCAUCAAGCCUGGCUUGUCGUUGGACCCCUUUACCGCUGAAAUAUGUGGUAGGUCCGAAAGAUAAUGACGGCGUCGUGUUUGACCCUAGAUGCAACGAGCUUUUUAUAGCACGCAUUGAAGUGGUCAGCCGACCCGGUCUUUAACCAUCAUUUUCUAAGGUUGACCUCGGAUCAGGUAGGAAUACCCGCUGAACUUAAGCAUAUCAAUAAGCGGAGGA